rnacentral:misc_RNA from 1 species
UGGCAGUUCUAGCUAAAGCGCGCAUCUAAUCACGGGUUAUCGUCAAGGCGACCGCAUGCCAGACCAAAGCGCGCGACCGCCCAAGGGUAGGUACUUCACUGUGUUCUUCCUUCGGUUGCGGGGACAGGAAUGUCGAUAGCGCCAUUCCGCUCCUCAUGCCGGAGCAGCACGUAAAGCGCCGGCAGGACGAGAAGCGUGAGCACGGCCGAGGAAAUAAUC